rnacentral:lncRNA from 1 species
AGGACAAUAAUACCCCACUUUUAUUCGCUAUAAUUUGCAAGAAAGAGAAAAUGGUGGAAUUUUUAUUGAAAAACAAAGCAAGUACACAUGCCGUUGAUAGCCUGAGAUGGUACAGUAGUUCUUUUUAAAUGAAACCUGAGUAUUCUAGAGUGGUAACAGUCACUCAAGUCAGAAAUACUAAUAAGAAGAUUAAUGUAAUUAUUGGCAUGUAGUGAAAAAUGUCACCAUGAAUAAUCAGAUAGAUCAGCAAAUAUUUAGACUGAGUAACAUAAAGAACAGUAUAUAGUAGGAUUCAUCUUCUCCUAUAAUACAGAGUGUUUGUUAUUUAUAAUUGGAUGUUUUUGGUACUGUAAUCUUUUAUUAGCUAAAGGGUUUUGUAUUAGCUUUAUUAAGUUUUUUUUGAGAUGCAGUCUGGCUCUGUUGCCAGGCUGGAGUACAGUGGUGUGAUCUUGGCUCACUGCAACCUCCACCUCUCAGGCUCAAGCGAUUCUCCUGCCUCAGCCUUCCAAGUAGCUGGGACUACAGGCGCGCACCGCCAUGCCCAGCUAAUUUUUGUAUUUUUAGUAGAGAUGGGAUUUCACCAUGUUGGCCAGGAUGGUCUCGAUCUCUUGACCUUGUGAUCUGCUCUCCUUGGCUCCUCAAAGUGCUGGGAUUACAGGCAUGAGCCCCUGCACCUGGCCAGUUUUAUUAAUUUUUAAAGUGUGGACUUUUAGUUUAUGACUACUAGUAUUAUCAUCAUCAUCAUUAUUGUUGUUGUUGUUUUCAGUCUGCAGAUAGCUCUUAUCUGACCCCUAGCUGAUAUAAAUUACAAUAUAUCAGACUAGGAAAGCAAUGGGGAAAUCUUCAUCUAAAUCUUUACCUGCUUUAGAUAAGUGACCUCAGCACAGUUUCUUGGCCAUCAAAGGACUAUGAGUUAGCAACUUGUAUUAUGUCAUACCCCAGUGGGACAGGAGGCUUCCUUAUUGUCCUUUUCUUUUAGACUUGGUGACAAUUUAUAAAGAUGAACACCUGAGCACCCUAGAUGCUUAUAGACCCAAGCUAGUACAUGCAAAAUGUUAUUAUGUCUACACUGACAGGUGGAUAUUAAAUUGGUAAAGUGUAUCAAACUAGCUGUUUAAAAAAGUCUUUAUUAAAGUUCUUGAGUGGAGUGAUUUCCUUGUUAUUUUAGAACAGCCCUUAUGCUUGCUGUGCACUAUGACUCACCGGGUAUUGUCAACAUCCUUCUUAAACAAAAUAUUAAUGUCUUUACUCAAGACGUGUGGACAAGAUGCAGAAGAUUACGCUAUUUCUCGCUGUUUGACAAAGUAAGUGUUUAUGUUAAAAGGCCAGUUAAUAUUGAAUUGAAGUUUAAAAUAAUUGCAACUAUUCCAUCUUAUACAUUAGGUGAGAGUUCCUAGUUUUGUUCAGAUGGUUUGAAAUAGCAAUGAGUUAGUCUACCUUUUAGCCAGAAAUCAAGCAGAAGUCUAGAUUAGUUAGAAGUAGAGUGCAAGAUGUUUUCAGGAUUUUUAAGACCUUUAUCCCUAGGGAUCUCAAUGUUGUUCAUUUUAUUCUAAGUAUAAUCCCCAUGCAUGGGAUAAAAAGAGCCACAUUUUUUACUUCUUUUCCUUUCUUUUCUUUUUUUUUUUUUUUCCUUGAAACAAGGUCUCUGUUGCCCUGGCUGGUCUUGAACUCCUGAGCUCAAGUAAUCCACCUGCCUCGGCCUCUCACAGUGCUAGCCACCGUGCCUGGCCUGACUUUUCUAAUUAGUUAUUGGGUCUUGAAAUGUCCAAUUUAGCAGAAAAUCUUGUAUUUUCCCGUGGGGCUAUCUCCUGUGUCUUCCUUCUUUGAAUUUUCCAAGAAGCUAAGGGGUUUCCUAAGUCCAAGGAAGGCAAUCUUUCUUUACAAGUCAGAAGAAGGGGGAAAAAGGCCAUUCUGAUCUUUCUGUUGUUUCCAUGGUCUCACUUCCUGUAUUGUUGCCAUUGUAACCAGUCCUGCAAUCUGAUAAUGAUUGACCUUUGCCACCAGGAUGCCUUCACUCAUUCAGACCCCUCAGUUUUUGUGGUGAUUCACACAUAGAGUUCAAAGCUACGGUGUUUAUUAAUUUAUGUACUUAUGCUCAGUCGUUGUUCCCAGCACCCUGAUCUGGCAGCUAGGCCUCCUAGCUUUACCCACACAAAUGUCGAGCAAGUUGAUCCUCACCCUACAGUAAAAACCUUAUUUGGAGCCCACAUCUUAGCUAGACUUAGCCUAGGCAUUCAUGGUAAGUUAUCCUUUGAGACCCGUGUUUGUCUGUUCUUUAACCAAUAUUAGUUGGGAUUGCUCUCAACAGUCAGGGAUGUUAAAAUCAUGUUGCAGGAAGAGAUUAGGGUUCCCUUUCCCUUUUGCUAUCAGAUCUGUACCUUGAGGCCUUUUUACAUCCUGUGGAGCAGCUUUUGUUAGAUAGCAGAAGGUUCCAUGUUAUCUUUCCACCGAGUAGUGGGAACCAACUUGCAAUUGGCCCCUCAAUUAAUGUGUCUCUAUGAUAAUGAAAAUCUCCUGGGCUAAUCACAACUCUUCCAGGAGUUUUAAAUGUAUUUUAAAAUUCUACCUCACAGGAAGCCAUUCAAUAAAAUUCUCUGAAUCUAAAGUCAGUGAGUUAGAUUUAACAGAGCUAAGCCUCAUCCAUAACUCAUGAGUAUCCAUUUAUCAAACAGGGCUUUGUACUUGUUUCAGCAGCACAUAUUUUAAAAUUGGAUCAAUACAGAGCAGGUAAGCAUGGCUGCUGCCUAGGGAUGGCACACAAAUUCAGAAAGCAUUCCAUAUUUUGCAUAGUCCCGGGAAGGUCAUUUGACUAUUUGUUGAGUAGCUCCAAGGAAGCAGUGUGAGUGAAACCAAAACAGAAGACACCCAAUAUUGAAAUUGUGAUUAUCACUAUAAAACUAUUGAUGUAAGGUGAUCUCUGAAAUGAGAACAGAGCUGAGUAAUAAGGGGAUGUUACUUGUUGCUAGUACAUGUCUUGGAAAUGACAAAAUGUCAACUUGCAUUUCCUUCAUGGAAGUGAAAAACAAUAAAAGCAGGGUUUUGUCUCAUCUGUUAGUUGGAGAGGACCAUGGAGAUCCAGCGUCCUAGCACAGAUCUGCUGGCUCAGAGUUUGAGGAGGUAGAGAAGGAGAGGUAGUUGUCCAAGCCCAGGUUUUGACACCUAUUAGUUUUCUGCCUUUGGUGUGAUUGAUGAGCUCAGUGAUGGGAGACAAUUAGGUAAUCUAUUUUAAUCAGAUUAGUUAUGAAUUAGGUAAAAUGCCCUGAAUUACAAGCCACAAAGAAUACAACUUAAUAACCAAAAUUAGCACUUAAUAACAUUUUCUGAAAACUGCAACAAUUGAAUAUUAGAACUUAUAGAAAAACACACACCAAGCAAUAAAGUUCAAGAAUAAAUCAUUCCAUUGCUUUACUAUUUCCUGAACAUUUAAACAUGUAAUCUUAUUACAUCUUCCUAACAACCUACUGAAGUAAGGUAGCAAAAUCCUUAUUUUUUAGAAGAAACCAGGGAGCCUAAGAGAAGCAACUUGUCUGAAAACAAAAUAUCUAUUACAGAGUGAGGAUUUAUUCUGAGUGCAGGACAUGUUACAUGAUGUCCAGCUAACUAGAGUUCAUUUACUGAGCUAUGCUUCCUCCAUUUAUGAGUACUUCACUUUUUUUCUUCUUUAAUUAUAAGCUUAAUAAGCUUGUAAGGUUUAAAAAUUUGAAGUAUAUGGGAUAUUAAAAUUCUGAUAUUAGGUCUGAUAUUGCCUGAAAUGGUUUUAGAAUUUAAUAUGUUUGGUAAAUAUUUUUUAUUUCAGUAUUAAAAUAGCAAUUUUAUUUAUUACUUUUGUAUACGUAGAAUUCAACAACAAAUUUUGGAACAUAAAAAGAUGAUACUUAAAAAUGACAAACCAGGUAAGACUUCUGAUAGUGAAUUUCUUAUUUCUCUUGGUGUUCCUACUCUUGAUUAGAAAGUAAAAAGUAAGAUGUAAGAUUAAGGUAGUGUUAAUAAAAAAAGACCAGUUUAAAAAUAUAUGUAAAUUAAAUGUGCAUAUAUGUAUAUACAUAUGUAAAUUAAUUUUUAAAAUUUAACUUCUUUAGUUUGAAAUUCAGAUUUAUUUAAGAAGGUAGUUGUAGCUAACUUAUAAUCUCAAACAUGAUUGUCUGAAAAAAUUCCUUUAUUUAAUUAUGAUCCCUAAAAUCCUAUGUAAUAUUUUUGCGUAAAUAAGAAAAAAGACUUUUAAGUUAGUAUGUUGUAUGUUUCCUCUAUAGUCACAUUAUAACAAAUUGGACUUGUUAUACAAAUGGAUCUUCUAUUUCAUUUUUAUAAUAAAUUGUUUAUAUUUAGUAAACAAAUAAUUACAGUUGACCCAUGAAUAAUGUGGGGGUGAGGUAUUCUGAUCCCUGUGCAGUUGAAAAUCUGAGUAUAACUUUUGAUUCCUUCACCUUAGCUACUAAUAGCCCACCAUUGACUGGGAGCCUUCCUGAUAACAUAAACAGUUGGUGGACACCUAUUUUGUUUGUGCUGCAUUAUUAUAUACUGUGUUCUUGCAAUAAAGUAAGCUAGAGAAAUGAAGCGGUUAGAAAGAAAAUCAUCAGGAAUGAUAUAUUGACUUUUCAUAAAGCAUUAAGUAGAUCCUGACAAAGGUCUUCAAGAUCUUCAGGUUGAUUAGGCUGAGGAGGAAGAGGAGAGGUGGAUCUUGCUGUCUCUGGGUUGCAGAGGCAGAAGAACAUCUGCAUAUAAGUGAGUCGCUGCAGUUGAAACCCUUGCUGUUGAAGGGUGAACUGUAUUACAUAUUGAUUUGUGUCACUAAGAAAGUAACUAUCUUUAGAACCAGGAACUCAGCAAUUCCUUUCUGGUACCAUAAAUAAAUGGCAAUAAGAACUGUAAAACUGAACCAGCAUGCACCCAUACAAAUAAGAGAUUAUUUUUUGAGGAUAGCUACUGAGCACAGAAGACAGAAAAGCAAUUCCUUCAUGAGAAGCACAAGUUAUAUUACAUAUUCUUACACAAGCAAAAUGGUUUUAUCUGUCAUAGUUUAUACACAUACACAUACACACAUGCACAUAUACACAUACAUAUGUGCGCACGCAUGUGCACACAGACACCAAGUUAAAAGUCCUGCUGAUUCUUAAUGACCAAAUCCAACUGUUCGCGGGGAGUGGUGGAUAACACAUUCUACAGUUUGGAUGCAAUUCUUUUGACUUUUUGACUUGUUCUGUAAUGAACUGCCUUUAAUGGGUGAAUCAUGUUUUUAGUUUUAUAAGAAACAAAGAAAAAGAUUAGAAGCAAGUAAACAGAAACUCUAUGAUCAGUAGUAGACUAUUAUAGUAUAUUCAAUAGUCAUAUGUUUUUCUCCAGUUAUACAAUUUACUUGAAUGAUGCACAAUUAAUCAAUUAUUAUUAUUAUAGGAGAUGGGGUCUCUCUAUGUUGCCUAGGCUAGAAUAAAGUGUCUAUUCAUUGGUGCAAACAUAGCUCACUGUAGCCUUGAACUCCUGGGCUCAAGCAGUCCUCCUACCUCAUCUUCCUGAGUAGCUGGGACUACAGUUUUGUAUGGUUAUAUCUGGCCUGAUACACAAUUGUUUAUUUAUUUAUUUUUGAUACAGUGUUUCCCUCUGUUGCUCUGCACUGGAGUGCAGUGGUGCCAUCUUGGCUCACUGCAACUUCUGCUUCCUGGCCUUAAAUGAUCCUUUCACCUUUCACCUUAGCCUCCCAAGUAGCUGGGACCCCAGGCAUGCACCACCACACUUGGCUAAUUUUCUUUUUAAGGUUUUUUUUGUUUUUUGUUUUUUUUUGUUUAAUAGAUGAGGUCUCACUAUAUUGCCAGGCUGGUCUGGAACUUCUGGGUUCAAGUGAUCCUCCUGCCUCAGCCUCCCAAAAUGCUGGGAUUUACAAGUGUGAGCCACUGCACCUGACCUGCACAAUUAUUAUAAAAAGGAAUUAAGCCCAGUUGAGUUGCAGAAAAUUGACCACCUUUUCAUUAUUUUUUCUAGAAACAUUCAUAUUGUACAACAUAUUGUCAAUCACCCAGAUUCUCUGUUUUUUAUUCAGUUAAAAUAGGAUUGCUGCUUAUUCCACAUUAUUUUCUGAUAUUAUUGUGUCAUUUAUUCCUUUUAUGGCUUUAUUCCUGUGGAUAGAUAUAGAAAUACAAGAAUCUCCAAGUCAAAUAUCAAGGGAAAAAAAGAAAAGAAAAACAGUUUAGGGAAAAUUAUUCUGUGAAAUAGCCAUCUGAUUACAGUUACAUAUAUCAUAUCAACUUAAUACAAAUCUUACACAAUGUAUUUGUGUCAAGGUUUCCCAAGACCACCCCAGGUUUGAUGGUUCACUAGAAGGACUCACAGGACUCAGCAAAUAGUCAUACUCAGAUCUUUAAUUGAUUACAAGAAAGGGGACAAGCAAAAUUAGUAGAGGAAAAAGGUGCUUGUGGUCAAUUCUGGAGGAAACCAGGCUCAAGCCUCCAGGAGUUCUCUCCUGUGGAGUGCCCGGGAUCUGCUUAAUUCUCCCAGGCCCACAUUUUGACAACAUAUGUGCAGUGAUGUCUACCAGUACCAGAGUCUCAUUAGAGACGAAGUAUCCAAGUUUUUCUGUGGAAAUUACUCUGCCUUACAUGUACCCAAAUUCCAGACUCGUACAAGGAAAGCAGAUGUUCAGAGUAACCACACUGUUUCUAUAAACACUUUAGACACAGUGAGCCACUCUUCUCAGGGAAUGGUGGAAACCCUCCCAAUUCCAAUUUCCUUAACACCAGCCAAGGGCCAGCCUUGCAUGCAGGCCUUUCUAAGGAUGGCAGUCUCUUGCCUGCUAUAUGAAAUCUUUUCUGCACAACGCUUAUAGCCCCAAUUUAAUUUUUGGGUUUGUUUUAAAAUUUCAUUUUAAUAAGACAUAAUAUUAUAAGAUAAGGUAACUUGGUACUAAUUUCUGUUGUAUGAUCCAUCUUAAGUUGCAAUGCUGGUUACUUUUUGACUUUUGGUGACUAACAGGUAUUUGUAUAUAAGUUACCAUAGCAAUGUUAGGUAAUUAUAAUCUGUCCUUUUUAUCUCAUUAAGCUUUCAGUAGAAUUGUUAAAUUAAAUAAGCAUAAUAAUUUUUGAGUUAAAAUUAGAAUAAAAAUUGUAUUUUAUUUUGAUUACAUGAAUAAUCUAGUUUUCAUAUUGUGCUAAAUCCCUGUUUAGAAUUAUGAAAUAAGAUAUUCAAUCAUUUUUAACAAUAUUUUCUUACCUAAGCAUGCAAUUAAAUUUAUUUAUUUUAUAUAUUUCAUAUACUUCAAUUUGAGAAAUAUAAUGACCACAUGCUGUCACUUUGGUCUUCAAUGAUCUCCAAUUUCUAGGGUCACUGUCUCUUGCUUAAAUAUAUCAUCAUAACAGGUUCAGUGAAUAUCUUUAUUUUUUAUUUAUUUAUUAAUUUUUUUGCGACAGAGUUUUGCUCUGUUGCCCAGGCUGCAGUGCAAUGACAGAAUCUUGGCUCACUGACACCUCCACCUCCCGGGUUCAAGCAAUUCUCCUGCCUCAGCCUCCCAAGUACCUGGGACUACAGGCAUGCACCACCAUGCCCGGCUAAUCUUUUGUAUUUAGUAGAGACGGGGUUUCAUCAUGUUAGUCAGGCUGGUCUGGAACUCCUGACCUCAGGUGAUCCACCCACCUUGGCCUCCCAAAGUGCUAGGAUUACAGGCAUGAGCCACUGCGCCCGGCCAUAUUUUUUUUAUUAUUUUAAUUAUUCUGGAGAUCCUGGGAUGCAUAAACAGUGAAUAUCUUUUUUUUUUUUUUUCUUUGAGAUGGAGUUUCACUGUCUCCCAGGCUGGAGUGCAGUGGUGCGAUUUUGGUUAACCACAAUCUCCGCCUUCUAGGCUCAAGUGAUUCUCCUGCCUCAGCCUCCCAAGUAGCUGAAAUUACAGGUGCCUGCCACCUUGCCCAGCUAAUUUUUGUAUUUAGUAGAGGUGAGGUUUUGCCAUGUUGGCCAGGCUGGUCUUGAACUGCUGACCUCAGGUGAUCCACCCGCCUAUGCCUCCCAAAGUGCUGAGGUUACAGUCAUGAGCCACUGAGCCCUGCUGUGAAUAUCUUUUUUAAAUCAAUAACUUUAUUUCUUAGAGCAGUUUUAGGUUCACAGCAAAAUUGAGAGGAAGGUACAGAGAUUUCUUGUAUAUUCCAUGCCUCCAACACAUGCAUAGCCUCCCCCAUUAUUAGUAUUUUCCACCAGAGUGUGGUACAUUUGUUACAACUGAUGAACUUACAUUGACACAUUAUAAUCACUCAAAGUUCAUAGUUUACAUCAGGCUUCACUCUUGAUGCUGUACAUUCUGUGAAUUUGGACAAAUGUAUAAUGACAUGACAUGUAUCUAUUACUGUUAUAUUAUUGACAGAACAGUUUCACUGCCCUAAAAAUUCUCUAUGCUAUGCCUGUUCAUCUCUCCCUUUCUCCCUAGCAACUUGUGGCAGCCAUUGAUCUUUACUCUGUCUUCAUAGUUUUACUUUUUUCAGAAGAGUCAUAUAGUUGGAAUAAUACUGUGGAUAUCUUUUUGAAUAGUUAAAAAAAUCAAAGCUCCAUGGCAAUUGAAGGUAGUCAUUUAAGAUGUUCUUUGUCCUUUUGUUUUUCUUUUGCUUUUUUAUCAUUGUAAAGAAUGAUAUAUGCUGAUGAGGUAUGCUUUACAUACUUAGAAAACAUGAUUUGUAUAGAUAUUUGGCACAUAAUGGAAAGGGUUGAGGAAAAGGACACCACGCCGUACCACACAGCACAACCUGGAGCAUCUUGCUCUGUGAGGUGGGUCCAGAUACACUGUCUAGCAAUGGAAGGGGGCAAGCGCAAGGGGUUGUACUUUAUAAAACUGGAAUCACAAAGUCUUUCAUACUUACCUUCGGUUGGAAAUAAGACCAGGCAGUGAAUGCUAUAGGUAAAUACAUAUGUUCCUCACUGAUCCUCUUCCUUUGAGGGAUGAGGUUGACAACAGCCUGUGUUAUGAUGACAUGACUCACCUACAACUAGAUUCUGUUAUGAGGGAUGGCAAGGGAGUUUUGCUUUAUGUGAGGUGAAAAAGAAUUUUUUUCUCCUACUAGGGAGAACAGCAAGCAUUGGCACAUUCUGGUAGUAAAAGGGCAUUGAUAGUUUUCUUUCUAUAUAUUUUUCACAUCAGAUAAUACUGCCCAGCAGCCUGCCACACCUCCCCAGUGUUUCUUAAGCUUCUCUCUGAAUGUGGAUAAGCUCUUAAAGGAGUGAUCUUUCCAGUGGUUCUUUCUGUGGGAGGUAAAAUGGCAGGUGAACAUGGGCCUUGUUAUAUGUAGGGCAGAGCAAAUAGCUACAACUAAGGAAACCACCCAGCACCUUCCCCAGAAGAGUAUUAGCCAGAGUAACACAGUGGUCUCUCUCGAGCUCUUCUCCACUGGCAGCUGCAAAGUUUUUGCAAGGAUUCCUGUUUCUGGUCUGAUUACUAUGUUUUGCUGGCUUCUGGUGAUAGGGUGUUUUAUCCUAAACUGAACAGUUUGAACUGAAGAGCUAGAGAGGCUGUGUUGUGUUAUAACAAAAUAAGUGCAGUAGUUCCCCCUUAAUUGUGGGAGAUACAUUCCAAGACCCCCAGUGGAUGCAAGAAACCAUGAAUAGUACUGAAUCACAAACUGUUUUUUCUAUACAUACAUAUCUAUGAUAAAGUUUAAUUUAUAAAUUAAAUCUGAUGUAAUCUGAAGAUAGGGUGUGAGAAUUGAAUCGUGCCAUCAGCAGGAAUGAUUGCUUGCUUUUUGGUGGGGAAAAACUCUCCACACAUUUGGUCACAGAAGCCUUCUUUGUUGAUGAUUGUUGCUGUGGCGUGAGAGCAGAGAAAAACAUGUCAAGUAUGUCUUUCCGCACAUACAGUGGAUAAGGGGUACUACUGUAUCCUCUAACUGCUCCUCAUAUUUUGGUCCAGAAAUCAUGCUCUUUGACACUGUUGACUCAUCACACCUGUUCUGCUAACAAUACCAUUUUUACUCAAUCUCAUAGGGUUUGGCUAGGAUGACUUGUAUACUGCAGUUCACUUGUAGAUACCAAAUUUUAAUAAAUUUAUUCUUCUUUACAUCUAAUAAAUACAAAGGGAAGAGUUCUUACUGCAUUAAUUACCUACCAAUAGGUACAAUUAAUGUUAAUUCUAAUAAGGUCCCAGGCAUGCUCCCAAAGGAAUUCUUUGUAACAAAGCAUCAGUCUUAUGCUUUUAAAAAACAAACCAAAACAAAACCACCACCACCAACAACAACAAAAACAGGAUCUAAAGCAUACACACAAGUGUGCACAACUUUUUUUAUGAAGGUAGUGUCUUACUAUGUUUCCCAAGCUGUUCUCAAACUUCUAGAUUCCUCAAGUGAUCCUCCUGCCUCAUCCUCCCGAGUAGUUUGGAUUGCAGGCAUGCAUCACUGUGCAUUCUUAUGCUUUUAAUAUUCUGUACAUUUAUUAUUGAUUUAAAAUGCAUUCUACCUUUUUCUUUAAUAGAUGUUGGAAGUUCUGAUGAAUCUGCAGUCAGGUAGGAUUUUAUAGAUUUAAAGAAUUAUGUUAACUAAGAAAACAUAGAUGGAAGAAACUAGUAUCUGUUGAGUGUUAUAUUCUGGGCUAGACAUCCUAAUAUGUUCUAUGCAUUUAUCAUCUCAUAAAGCCAUCACAACAUCUGUGUUCCUAUAACCUACUGUUUAUUAAAUAAACAACUAUGGAUUAGAGCAGUUGAUUAAUUGCCUUAUAAUCUCAUAGUUAACAAAGUAGCUGGCCUACAGUUGGACCGUCAGCCUGCCUGGCUUCCAAAUCCCUUCUCUUGCUCCUCAGCAUAGAUUGAUAGACAUCCAUGCAGCACUUGGAUCAAGGUAUAGGUCUGAAUCAGAUUAAUCAGAUUCAUUAAUUUAAUUAAUGUCUAAAUUAAUGAGAGUUUAAAUACCUUAAAUACCUUAAACUCUCAUUUAAGGUUAUUGUUAGAAUGUGGUUAGUGGAAGAGAUUGUCCAGAUAAAUUUGACAAUUUCAGUGGUAACCAGUAUCUUAUUUUUACCAUCAAAGGCUUUAGGGCAAAUCUUACUUAGCUUUGGCCAUAGGACUGUAAGUUUUACAAAAGCAAGUUUAGGCAAGUCUUAGAGAGAAAUCAUUUGACUUCCCAGUUUGGUUUUCCAUUUAGGCAAGUAUUUCUGCUACUUCCAUAAUACUUUUGUUAGUCUUGUUUCUUUUUCCAUGACUUUUCUAUAAUCUUGUCUUGAUUUUUUAGAACUUUCUUCUCUGCUUUUCUUGCUGUUUCUUUUGUUCUAUUAUUUUUUAAAAUUCUGCUGGGUAUGUAUUCCCAGUUUUCCUAUAGACAGAAUCAAGAGGACAUAGAAUUACAGAAUUUUAAGGAAUCUUAGAAUUAAUUAAAAUACUUUCUAGUAUUUUUACCUGUAUUGAACAUUCUGGUCAAGUGAUUCUCAGAGAAUGUGAGGCUCAAAGAGAUUAGGAUGCUUUUUUUUUAGACAUAGGAAUUGGCAGAAAUGAGAUUUGAACUCAUUUUGAGGCCCAGUACUCUUCCUUCUUUUUAUAUCCUAUUUGCAUGUGCUUUAAUAAUACAAAUGGGAGUGAGUCUGGUGCACCCAGUGGAUAGUAUGAGAAUGGAAUUAGCUGGUGAACCCAAUGGAAGUAGAUAAAAAUGGAAUGAGCAGGGGAAGGCCAAGUUUGAAGAGAAACAACACUGGAUUGGAUAGGAGUAUGGACUCUUCAAUAAGAGAUCAAAAUAUUGGGGUUUAUGAGAAGUUUGAUAAAGAGUUCAAGGGAGCUCUAAAAAGUUCGCUCCUUUUGUUUAAAUCAAGGACUGACAAACUUGAAGAAUUUUACUGAAAGAUGCUAAAACAUUUUGAGACACUGGGAGGAGUGUCUACAGCAGAUAGAAAUGUAGUGUCAUCUACUUCCGUCCUGACUUUCAGAGGGGUGGCUUAGAGCCCCUGGAGUACGAAGGGGCUGGAGAUUGCUGGACUACAUAGAUGUGUGGCCCAGGACAGGUGGCCUCUUCACCUCUGCCUCUGUUCCCGAUUCACUGAUGUCCUUCCCAUGUCCAUGUAGGCUGGGUCAGGGGCAUGAUUGGCUGGCAAAUCAGUCAUGGAGUUCAGUUGGGUAGUUGGUAGUGUGUCUAUGCUGGGUGCAGGUGAUGGAGACUCCAGUUAGCUUGUUUUUCAGGAGCAGGGAUAUAGAGGGCUCCUACUCCUGGUCAUUUGAGGCCAUCCUUUCAGGAAUCUGUGCUUUCAUAGGCUGAAGAUUUGAAGAUUGGAGACUUCUGUGGAGCCCUGCAGAAGUGGAAUCUGGAAGUGGGAGCCCAUAGGAAGACAGAUACUUAGAUAGUACUUAGGGAAAUAGAGGUACAACUACCAGGACUCUGUUUUUCUGGCAGUCUCUCUCCUUGGGUGUCUGAGUGCCUAUGAAAAUUUUUAAGGGCUUGCUAGUUUAUGUGGACCUGAAUAAAGUAGGACCUAUAGAGUGAAAAUAAUGGGAUUUUAUAAUUGCUAAUAUUUUAAUCUUUCUGGGAAAAGUAUUCUCAAUAAGAACAUACACUUUUGUUAUUUGAUUUUUGUACAUGUAGCUUUCAUACCUUUCAAAUAUUGCAUGGGAUUUCCUGUACCGAUUUAGGGCAAAGGAAAGCAAUAGGACAUUCCUAAGUGGGUUCCAUGUUGAGGAAUCAAGACUGCCAAUUUGAAGUGAUGCAGAUUAGUCUUUUAACCAGAGAUAGAUUAUGGAAAAGAGACAGUGGAUCUUUCUACCUUGUUUUAGGUCAUCAGUUUUCUUCCAGUUUAGGUAACAAAAUUUAUGUCAUCCAUUAAUUGAGUUUUAAGUUCAGCUUCAGGACAGAUAAUUUGUGAGGGCAAAUUAUUGUCAGGCUCUGCCAAUAUAUUGACUGUCACUAUUUGUUAUGAAGCUGAAGGUUAGUUUUCAUUGAACAUUUUAUAGAUUUAGACAGGUGGAGGCAGAAAUAGGUAACUAAAAUCUAUUUUUAGAACAGAGGACCUAUUUUAAUUAUAUCAAGAAUCAUAAUUUAAUAUAUAGAUCACUGACCUUUCCCCAGAUUAUUCUUUCCUUUUUUGAGGGGGAAGCUGGAUAUAAACUGGCAGUUAAAAAAUUGUAAAGAAAUCAACUUGCUCAUUUUCAUUGUGUAUUUUUGCUCCCAAGCAUUUUCCAUGAACUGUGUGUGGAUUCAUUGCCUGCAUUAGAUGACGAAGUCUUGAGUGUUGCUGCUAAGGUAAAUUGGUCUCUUGUAAAAUUAAUUUUCUCACUCUGAAUGUAGUUUUGCAGAGUAUUUACUUUUCAAACUUAGCAGUGGUUUAUCUGUCAUUGUUUUAUGGUGGUAACGGAAAGUGGGUCAGAGAAAAACAUAUAUAUGGCUAGUUGAUUGAAAAAAUUUGUUUAACUUUGGUAACUAACAAAGAUUGAUAAGUACCGUGACAGGGUAGGAGCUGAAAAAAAAUGAACUGGAAAAUAAGUAGUGACAGGAAAAUCACAUUAGGAAAUGCUUUCUCCAAUAGAGGAAAUAUGAAAUUUGAUUAAGCUUUAUUUGGAUAAAUACUAAUACUUUGAGUUUUAAAUCCUGUGAGUGUGACUUUCAUAAUAUUUAUGCCUGUAUAACUCUUCAGUGGAUCAAAUUAUUUGCAGUAAUCAUGGAAUCCUCCUGGUAACUUUUAGUUGCAAAAAGGUUCAGCACAUAGCAUAUAGCUUUUCUUCUUGGAAACUUAUUAUUUUGGUAUCAUAUAGUUUUUAGGAGAGAUUGUUUCUCUACUUAUAUUAUUGGUUCUAUAGUGAGACUAAAAUAAUAUUAAAAAUUGUAGAAAAAUAGCUGAGUGUGGUGGUGUACACCUGUAGUCCCUGCUACUUGGGAGUUUGAUGCAGGAAGAUUGCUUGAGCCCAGGAGUUUGAGAACAGCCUGGGCAACAUAACAAGACUGUAUCUGAUUUAAAAAUAUAAAUUGUGGAAACAUAGAAAUUUAAAUUUAUGUUCUCAAAAUUUGUAUUGCGAAGGGAUUUUUGUGUGUUUUAUGAGUUGUCCAUGAAGAGUUUAUAUAAAACACUUCAUCUAAUUGAAUAACAUGUAUUUUGCUGCAAAUAACCAGUUCUAGAAGCAGAGACUCUUAAUACCAAUAUGGUAAGACUUUAUCAUCAUAAUUUUGUCAUUGUAGUUUAUUUAAAAUAUUUAGUUGGCCAGACGUGGUGGCUCACACCUGUAAUCCCAGCACUUUUGGAGGCCGAGGUGGGUAGAUCACCUGAGGUCAGGAGUUCAAGAUCAGCCUGGCCAACAUGGUGAAACCCUGUCUUUAAAAAAAAAAAAAAAAAAAGCACAAAAAUUAACCAGGCGUGAUGGUGCAUGCCUGUAAUCCCAGCUGCUCAGGAGGCCACGGUGGGAGAAUCGCUUGAACCUGGGAGGCGGAGGUUGCAGUGAGCCAAGAUCGCACCAUUGCACUCCAGCCUGGGUGACAGAGCAAGACUACAUCUUAAAAAAUAAAAUAACCACUCAAAGUCCUUAUAUCCUAUUCUGAAAUUUUGAAUGUCAGAAGGUUUUCUAUUUAGUUGUUUAAAUAAUCAUUGGAAGCUCCUGCAUACUAUAGGCUACUGGAGGUCAGUAAACAUAUUUGUGUGUAUCCUGGAGUACCUAGAAUAUAGUCUUCCAUGUAAGAAGCAUUUUACUUGUUGUUUUUUGAGAUGGGGUUUCACUCUGUCACCCAGGCUGGAGGGCACUGGUGAGAUCUUGGCUCACUCCAAUCUCCAUUUCCUGGGCUCAGGAGAUCCUCACACUUCAGCCAUCCAAGUAGUUGAAACAGUAGAGCUAUGUCACCAUAGACCUGUGUCACCAUGCUCGGCCGAGUUUUGUAGAGACAGGGUUUUGCCUUGUUGCCCAGGCUGGUCUUUAACUGUUGGGCUCAAGUGUUCUGCCCGCCUCAGCCUCUCAAAGUGCUGGGGUUACAGGCAUGAGACAUUCAGCCUUAAUAGUUGUUUAAUCUGAAUAAAUAGACAAAUGAAUUUUUAUAUAAUGGAAUGUUAUAAGUAAUAUAAUAUACCUAAUGUAUCUAACAAUUAAAUAUUGUAUUUAAAAUAUUGCUUACAUUUGUAUUAUUUUUUAAUAUUUAAGGGAGUAUAAGUUUUGAUGUGUUAUGUUGAGAAAUUAUGCCAUAAUUAAAAAGGAAAUAAAUUAGAAAUAGGUCAUCAGUAGCAAAGAGGGUUACAAUAUAUUUUCUAGUAUCAUUGAACUGGAAUCUUAACAUUGAGAUUUUAGAUUAACAUUUCUUAAGCUUUUUAUUAGUCCCAACUCAGGUUCUAUUAAAUAUACCUUUUCAAGCCAUACAUUACCCUUUAUUAUUAUUAUUAUAUUUUAAGUUCUCGGGUACAUGUGCACAACGUGCAGGUUUGUUACAUAUGUAUACAUGUGCCAUGUUGGUGUGCUGCACCCAUUAACUCGUCAUUUACAUUAGACAUAUCUCCUAAUGCUAUCCCUUCCCCCUCCCCCCACCCCACAACAGGCCCUGGUGUGUGAUGUUCCCCUUCCUGUGUCUAAGUGUUCUCAUUGUUCAUUUCCCACCUAUGAGUGAGAACACGUGGUGUUUGGUUUUCUGUCCUUGUGACAGUUUGCUCAGAAUGAUGGUUUCCAGCUUCAUCCAUGUCCCUACAAAGGACAUGAACUCAUCCUUUUUUAUGGCUGCAUAGUAUUCCACGAUGUAUAUGUGCCACAUUUUCUUAAUCCAGUCUAUCAUUGUUGGACAUUUGGGUUGGUUCCAAGUCUUUGCUAUUGUGAAUAGUGCUGCAAUAAACAUACGUGUGCAUGUGUCUUUAUAGCAGCAUGAUUUAUAGUCCUUUGGGUAUAUACCCAAUAAUGGGAUGACUGGGUCAAAUGGCAUUUCUAGUUCUAGAUCCUUGAGGAAUCACCACACUGUCUUCCACAAUGGUUGAACUAGUUUACAGUCCUACCAACAGUGUAAAAGUGUUCCUAUUUCUCCACAUCCUCUCCAGCACCUGUUGUUUCCUGACUUUUUAAUGAUCGCCAUUCUAACUGGUGUGAGAUGGUAUCUCAUUGUGGUUUUGAUUUGCAUUUCUCUGAUGGCCAGUGAUGAUGAGCAUUUUUUCAUGUGUCUGCCAUACAUUACUCUAGAAUUCUGGUGACCAAUUCUUUUUCUGGGUGGAACGUUGAUGGAAAGUUCCAGUUUUCUCUCUCUGUUAUAAUAAUGUUCUUUCAGGUAGUGGUAGAUGACCAUAUUUAGCUAAUUGAAUGUCUUAUAGUAAUAAACUCUAUCACAGAAGUACUUACAAAAAACUAAUUGUAGCAUAAAUAUUAAUUAGUAUUAUCAGGGAUAUGAAAGACCAAAAGGCUCUGUUAUAGAUCUAUUUCCCCAUGUACUUUAUUGUACUUCAUGUUGUUUCUUUUCUUUCUUGGCUUAAGCUCAUAUUUCAUUGACCAAUUAGGCUUCUUUUUUGUUUGUAUCUCUCUUCAUUCUUACAUUUUAAAUUGAUAUUUUUGGGGAGUCAGGGUCUUGCUCUGUUGCCCAGGCUGCAGUGUAGUGGCAUGAUCUUGGCACCCUACAGUCUCCACCUCUCAGGCUCAAGUGAUCCUCCCACAUCAGCUUCCCAAGCAGCUGGGACUACAGGCACACACCAUCAUGCCUGACUCCUUUUGGUAUUUUUUGUGUAGAGAUGUGUUCUCAUUAUGUUGCCCAGGCAGGUCUCAAACUCCUGAACUCAAGCAAUCCACCCACCUUGGCCUUGCAAAGGGCUGAGAUUACAGGUGUGAGCCACCAUGCCUGGGCAACAUUGAGACUGAUUUAAAGAAAUUGAUUAGGGCUGGGUGUGGUGGUGCACACUGCUUAUCUCAACACUUUGGGAGGCAGAAGUCGAAGAUUUACUCGAGCCUAGGAGUUUGAGACCAGCCUGGGCAGUAUAAUGAGGCCUUAUUUCUACAAAGAUAACAAUAGAAACAUUAGCAUGGCAUGAUGGUAUGCACCUGUAGUUCCAGCUAUUCAGGAAGUUGAGGUGGGAAGAUUGCUUGAGGUCAGGAGUUUGAGACCACAGUGAGCCAUAAUCAGGCCCCUGCAUUCUAGCCCUUGGUUGACAGAGUGAGACCCAGUUUCAUAAAAAGAGAUUGAUAAGAAGCUCUUGAUGCAACUCAUAAUUUUAAAAUGGAAACUAAUUCUUGAUAUUACCUUAGCAGUGUGUCCCCGAGAAAGUGUCAGAGCCUUUAUGUGGACCUUCCCAUGGAAAAGGAAAACAGAAUAGUCAAUGGAAAAGGAGAAGGUGAGAACUGUAUUUUAUUUAAAAAGUCAUUUGUUGGAGGCUGGGUGCAGUGGCUCACACCUGUAAUCCCAGCACUUUGGGAGGCCGAGGUGGGCGGAUCACAAGGUCAGGAGAUCGGGAUAAUCCUGGCUAACAUGGUGAAACCCCAUCUCUACUAAAAAUACAAAAAAUUAGCCAGGUGUGGUGGCGGGCCCCUGUAGUCCCAGCUACUUGGGAGGCUGAGGCAGGAGGAUGGUGUGAACCUGGGAGGCGGAGCUUGCAGUAAACGGAGAUCACUCCACUGCACUCCAGCCUGGAUGUCAGAGUGAGACUCUGUCUCAAAAAAAAAAAAAAAAAGUCAUUUGAUGGAAUGUUUCUUUGAAAAUAUGAGCACUAAUAGAGUCUAAUAGCUAAAGAAAAUGUCCUAUUAACUGUAUAAUAAGUAAAGGAGAAGUGAAAUGGUGAUAAGUUGUGUCUCUAACCAAGGGUCAGCAGUUGAUUCUAUUGGGAGUACCACUAAAGGAGCUGAGUUGUGGGUUCCAUUUUAAGAUACUCUAAGACCUGAGGCAAGUCAGGAGAGAGGGAAGAGGAAAUGAAUAAAAGAGAAAGAAAGAUGAGGAGGGCAGAGUAUACAUGGAAUAAAUAAAAACACAUAUGCGGAUGUAUGUAAUAGAGGGUAGUAAAGUCUAAUUGAUCUGUAGAAGAAGGAAGAACAGGGUGUUAGGAAUAGGAAGGAAGAUAAAGUGAGCUUCCCGUACCAACAUAUGUCAGAGAAUUAGAGUAACAUUUUCCUACUCUUGCUGUCAUCCUCACUACUGGGGAGGCAUUAAGGAUUGAGGUAUUUUACCACACAGACCUGUGUUUUAUCUACCAUAGAUGAACAUCACCAUAAAUGGUCAGCCAUGUAUGGCUAUAAUUUGGUUUUAAAGAAAAUGUUGUAACCUCAUAGGAUAGUAUCAUAUAGGCCAAAUUAACAUAAUUGAAAAUAAUAGUGUUGGGUGAUGUAUGGAGAAGAAAUUAAUUAGAGAAGGUAUUACCUGAUUAAAAGUUCAUUAGAAACAUUAUGGCUUAUAAUGUAGUAUUAAAUUCAGAGACAUAAUAGGGAAGAAAUUGAGUCUAGGCCAAAAAGGGCAAUUAGGGUAAACUAAUAUGGAAGCACAUAAAGUGUAAAACAGGGCAUUCAGAUAGUCAUGAAUUAGUUGAGGAACUUCUGGAAACUGCACAUUCUGAUUUAGCAGGUAUAGGAGUCUGCAUUUCUCAUGAGUACUCAGGUGAUGUUGUUGCUGGUCCUUGGACACAGCUCUGAAUAGCAAGGGAAUAGCCUUCCUUUAGAGAAAUCUGGAAAAAGAACCACUGGAGAGCAAUUUGAAUAAUAGCAGAAUCCAGGGAAAGCAUUAAUUUCCUUUUAUUUCUGAGCACGAUUCUAGCCACAGGGGAAGGAAAAUGAGAUGAAAAAAGAGAGAUUACAGGUGUAUACUACUGCUGAAUACAGAUGAAAAAAGUGGUCACAAUUAUCCAUAAAAAGCAGUUAGGAAGGGAAGCAUCAGGAUGACAGAUCUAAAAAUCACUUUUUCAAAGGAAGAGGGAUUGUGAAAGGACACAGAGGGAGGAAAGAAAGACAUUUGCUGGGGUCUUGGGAGUUAAAGCCAAGUAAACUUGAGACAACUCACUUCCAGUUGCUUCAGCAUAUGCCCAGUCUCACAAAAGAGGUUAUUGCUGUGGAGAGUACUGGAGGCAGGAGGGAGUGCUAGAAUUGGGGUAAACCACAGCAGCUCAUUUCACUUCAUAAUUGUCAGGCCUCAGAGAGAGAAGUUUCAUUGACAUGAGUGAAUAAGAUGUGAUUAAGUUGCAUAUAGAUGCUUUGGCUAAUUUUUUUUGAGACAGCCAGUUCUUUGAUAUGAUAGCUGCUUUAUAAAAGUCCUUUACAGUGUAAGAUGAUAUACCAAACUUAGUUAAUUUUAGAAGCAAUUGUAUUAUAAAAUUCAUUCUGUGAAUACCAAAAUACUCAUUUUCAAUAAGUACUGCACUGAUUUUGAAAUAUAAAUGUGUAUUCGUAUCCAGCAAGUCUGUGGUAAUUCAGUGUUUUCUUUUUUGAUAAAUAUUUUGAUAUUGGAAGCUUAUUCGACAUGGUUUAUUUGAUGUGUUUUAUGGACCACCUCGCACAAGUGGAUCAAGGAGCUCUAACUCAAGGCCAAAUGAGGGGAUAGGAGAAAUGUAGGUGCUGCAGUAGCCCAUGUGAUCAUGGGAAAAAUGAGUAUUUUGAUUAGCUGUUAUUUCAUAAGUGUGCGUCCUAGCUGAUCAAUGUAGAACACUUUCUUUGAUGAGAGGUGAAUCACACAUUCACCUGAACUGUCAUCCCAACUGUGUAUUUCCUCAGCGACAGGACAAGGGGAAUUUAUCUGUGGUGUGCUGGCAGCAAUGCCUCUGAUGUGUUGAGUUAAAAUACUCUGUACAUUCACCAUCAGCUUUGACAUCGAUUCCCUCAGGUUUGAUUUGCUCCUCUGUUUAGUGGUCCCUUUUCUCCUCAUCAGCCCACGUGUUCACAGUGAUAUCCAUGCUUUUCUAUUUUAGGUAUAGACAUUUGAAACAUAAUCUCACUACUGAAAUGUAAGCUGUGCAUUUUAGGAAUCCUGUAUUCCUAUUUUCCUCAUUAGGUUUCUGUCAUGUUGCUGUCCUAGGCAAUGAAAAGAAGAAGCCAAGAAGAACCCUCAAAACCUUAAGUAAUUAUUUUCAUAGCCAGGCAUGAGAAUUCAGCUCGAUAGUAACACUGCAUGAAUGGUUGGCCCUGUCAUACUUACAUAUAAUUGAUGACAUAUCCCUUUUGCUUUGUAGGGCCUCCUGCAAAACAUCCUUCCUUGAAGGUAAUUAAUUAUGUAUAUUUUUUGAAUCACUAACUCCACAUUGUAUAAAAUAUAUAUGAUUUAUGAAUCAUUUUCUUUUAAAACCCAUUCAGCCUAGCACUGAAAUGGAAGAUCCUGCUGUGAAAGGAGCAGUACAAAGAAAGAAUGUACAGACAUUGAGAGCAGGUACAUAUUCAAUACAAAUGGAAUGCCGGAAAUAAGUACAUUCAAUGAUUGGAAGUACUCACAUUAUUCUUACCCCUAAUUCUGUUUGUUCAAAACUGAAUGGAAGGCAUUGACGUAAAUGUUAUUGUUGGUAUCCAUAUUUGAAUAACAAUAAAUUUAGAAGCAUAAAAAAGAUUUUAAAAAUGUAAGCUUUAACUCAGAUGUUUCUCUUUUAAUGUUUUGAAUAGCAUGAAGUUUUCAGUAUAAAAUUUUUAUACUUGUCAGGGAUUAAAAGCACUGAAUUUUGAGACUCUAAGAUAUUUCCAUUGAUUUAUGUGCUAGUUGGCGCUCUGAUCUUUACGUAGAGGAAAGCUUUUCUUAUUAACGUGUCAGUUUCUGUUUUAACUUUAGAGGCUUGCUGCUAGUGUUAUUACACUGAUGAUCUGAAGCCAAUCAGAUGUUCUAGUGAGCAAGACUGUGUGUGGAUGUGGAUGUAUAGGUGUGUGUAUGUGUGUGUUUGUGGCAUCUUUGACUACUAAAAAUGAGGAAAGUAAUUAUUCAUUUAUAACUGGUAGACACAGUCUUUUAAAACGGUGAUUUUGAGCCUUUUUGGUGUUAAGGUUUUUAAAACGUGAUUGCAUAGCGGCUACCAACAUCAUAAGUUGGUUGUUUUUCAUUUCAAUGCCCUUUUGAAAUCUUUAACUAUAUUGUGAUGCUCAGAAAUAAUAUGCAGAAUUUUUUAUUUGUGUCCCAAAAUGGUAUGUGAGUGGUUAUACACUUUACAUACCUUUCUGCCACUUUCUUUGGUGUAUUUUGUAUUAUGUUUUCCAGAUGUAUCCACAUUGAUAUGAUUAUCUCUGGUUUAAUUCAUUUUAUACUUUUCAUUGUAUUCCCUUAUACCACUUUACCACAUUUAGUUAGACUCUCCUGUUGCUGAUAAAUGAAGAAAGAAAGAAAAAUAAAAAUAAUGUCAGAUUAAGAGGGCUUUUCUUUAGUCAGUUUGUAUAAAUUAAUAUUUACUACAUGAGAGUUUAAAGUUGAAAAGUUCAGAAUACAAGCAUGCACCACCAUAUUUUAUAAAUGUCCUUAGAACUGUGACUCAUGAGCCUUUAGCCUAUGAAGUUAGGACAAUUCAUUUCUCUGAAGAAGUUUGCUGUGCUAUUCUCAGAAAAGAAAACUGAAAAUAGCAAAUGAUAUUGUCUUAUUUGACCUCUUGGACAUCCUUGAAUGAAACUGAAACUCUAGGGAUACUCGGAUCAAAAUUCAGAACUAAUGUUUUGAACAAUAUAGUUUGUGAAUGUCCAGUGAUCAUGAGCCCUUGAUGGGGAAAUGACCUUUCAAGUUUCACUUUUGCAUUUUUUGCUCUUUUCCUUGACUUGUCUUAAAAGCUUAAAUUCAACCGUUUUAUUUUUACAGAAACCAGGAAUAUAACUUUUAAAAUAUAUGUCUGUCCUGUCUCACGGUGGUGUGUACUCUUCAGAUCUUUUGUGAACAUAGACUUAUAUGGGAACAAUUAUGUUUUUUGUUUGUUCGUUUGUGUUUUUGAGACAGAGUCUUGCUCUGUCACCAAGGCUGGAGUGCAGUGGCUCAGUCUUGGCUCAUUACCACCUCUGCCUCUCAGGUUCAAGCAAUUCUCCUGCCUCAGCCCCUUGAAUAGCCGAUACUACUUGCACGUGCUACCAUACCCUGCUAAUUUUUCUAUUUUUAGUAGAGAUGGGGUUUCACCAUGUUGGCCAGGCUGCUCUCAAACUCCUGACCUCAGGUGAUCUGCCCACCUCGGCUUGCCAAUGUGCUGGGAUUACAGGCGGGAGCCACUGUGCCAGCUACAAAUAAGAUUUUUAAGGCUAUUAUAUUUUAUACAAUUCUUUGGUUUAUGUGAAUUCUGAAGGCUUUCAUGCAUUGAGGGAAGAUUAUAUCAGUUUAAUGAAAGCAGUUUUUAAUUUAAUGUAUAUUCAUUAAAAUUUUUUUUGAAGUUUUUGUCUCUAGUACAUAGAAAUACACAAUAAUGUCAUGGGUAUUUGACCUUUAUGUGUUUAUGCACAAACUUAGUUAUUCAAAUAUUUUCUUAUCCCUAAAGAAUCUUAAUUACUAAUAAACAAAUUUCUCAUUGAAAACAACAUAUAUAAUAGAGAUCGUUGAGUGAUUGAAAGUAAAUUGUAGUAAAUAACAGAAGCUUAGAACAAGUUAAGUAAACUUGUCUGAGUUAAUAGCAAUUACAGGACUUUUAAAAUAUGUUAGACCAUGAGGGAGUGGUGUGUUUGUGGGGUAGAAGACAACAUGGUACUGCUUCAGUGAAGAAAGAACUUUUACAACUUAUUACAAUUUGUAUUACUAUUUACAUUCUAAUAAAUAAAAACUUUAUUUUCAGAUAUUUUAGAUUAUGUUUCUACUAGUUGAACCAUCAAUAGUAAGACUUUUCAAAGAUUUGGGAAGUUGUGAGUUGACGAUAAAUAUCUGUAUCGCCAUCCGUGAUCAAAAAUCAGACAGCAACUACAGACUUUGGACACGCGAACUUCAUAGUUAAAGAAAGGAUUAAUUUUGGAGCUGUGUUUCUAUCAGGGAAUUAUACUCUUCAUUGCCUGCAUGAAUCGCAGUUAUUAGAGUAGAAAGAGAGCAAAGAAGGGAAAGAAGCAUAGAAAAUUUUAUUCUAGAUUACCUCGGUUGGCUUCAUGCUACCAUAGUUCUGACUUUUAAAAAGUCAUUUUGUGAUCAAAGGUACUUUGUGUUUACUCCCCUUAUGCAGGCUACAACCAAACAGAAUGGUUCUUAGCAAGGCAUUUGUAUUCUUCCCUUAAGGAAAGCAACAUAUAAAUAAAGAGAAUGAGGAGAAAGAGUGAUUUCAUUGAGGUUGUUAUUUAACAUAAAUUUGAGUGUGGGUACCAUGAUUAUAUUUAGAAUUUUGGGACUGGAUGGGAAAACCAGCUAGACAUCUACAGAUUCCCUACUCAAACACAAUGUGCCUUUGUUUUAUUUUUAUAUCUCUAAUUUUGCAAUUAUUCAGUACAACUGUAUGCAGUGUCACUAAAAAUACCUUCCCAAACCAAAUAUUAAAUAAUGCCUAUGGCUUUCUGUUUUAUAGUGUUGAUUUUCCCAAUAUUAAUGGGAACCAUUGAGCAUUUGCCUUGUGGUGUCUCCUCAGCUGUAUUCACACAUUCCAUCACCUUGUCUUAAUGGAUAAUCAUACACUAGGAGUACGGUUUUCAGAAGAGCUGUGUCAUUUAAAGAUAACACAGGAGCAUCAAAUUUAAUUCUGCUAGAACACCUGGUCUACUGAUUAACUGCAGCUAAUGUGGGGUCUACUUCACAUACAAGUUAAAUUCAGUGCCCUUAAUCAGUCAUAUGAUCAGGUCAACAGUAAUAAAUUAUGCAAUAUUUUCCCCCACCCCUAUAGUUUUAAUUUCUUUUUCCCCUUAUGUCUAGAAUUAACAUUUUGUUUUAUAAAACAUGAUGAUAAUCUUCUAGAGUAGUGAUGACAAGCUAUAAAUCCAAAGUUUGUUACUUAUGCAGAUGACUUGUUUGCUUCUAUUUUCUCAUGAGCUUGGUAGAUCCAGGAAACAGAACUUUUAAAACAAAAUCCCCAUAUGUGGCUGGGCGCGGUGGCUCGUGCCUGUAAUCCCAGCACUUUGGGAGGCUGAGGCGGGUGGAUAACCUGAGAUUGGGAGUUUGAGACCAGCCUGACCAACAUGGAAAAACACAUCUCUACUAAAAACACAAAAUUAGCUGUUCAUGGUGGCAAAUACCUGUAAUUCCAGCUACUUGGGAGGCUGAGGCAAGGAGAAUCGCUUGAACCUGGGAAGCAAAGGUUGUGGUGAGCUGAGAUCAUACCACUGUACUUCAGCCUGGGCAGGAAGAGUGAAACUCCAUCUCAAAAAACAACAACAAUGACAACAACAACAACCAACACAAAACCCAAAUGCAUUUCCUUGGCACAGUAAAACUGAAACAGAAAAAGUGUAAAGUAAAUACAAGUAACUGAAACAGUUUAUGUAUAUUAUCUUACUUCUCAUUUGAUAAAAUUUGUAAAGUAAUGAGCAGAGGGUAUUUCUCCAGGGACCUGGAUAUAUACAUUUAUUCAUUCAAUAAAAAUUCAUUCUUAUAAUGGCCACUGAUACUUGUAUCCUAAUCAUUUCUGAAAACAUCUCCUCAGGCCUGCAUCAUCUUUGCAACAUUGCCAUAUUUUAUCUUUGUUCAUUUAUUUAUAUGCCUCAGAAUUUUAUGCUCCUCACAGUAUUUAGAGUUAAUUAUCUCUAAUGUAAAUAGAUCCAUGAACCACUCCUGAAUACCUAAUGUCCAAGCAUCUUAAAGCUUUAUAUAAGGAUUUCAGAAACUGACUUCUGGGUUGGGCACGGUGGCUCAUGUCUGUGAUCCCAGCACUUUGGGAGGCUGAGGCAGGUGGAUCAUUUGAGGUCAGGAGUUCAAGACCAGCCUGGCCAACAAGGUGAAACCCCAUCUCUAAUAAAACACAAAAAAUAGCAGGUGGUGGUGGCAUGCACCUGUAAUCUCAGCUACUCCGGAGGCUGAGGCAGAAGAAUUACUUGAACCCAGGAGACCGGGUUGCAGUGAGCCAAGAUCAUGCUACUGUGCUCCAGUCUGGGAGACAGAGUAAGACCUUGUCCCAAAAAAAGAAAAGAAAAGGAAACUGAUUUCUGCCCAAAUCUCUAUCCGUAGCCCUUUCCCCAUCUGCCUUUUUCUCUGGAAUUACUCAGCUGCUGGUAAUGGCCCCCUCACCAUUCCUCUUUUGCAGAGAAAUACAUACUCUCUUGGAGGCUUCUCUCCCUCUCUUGUUGCUGCCUGGCAUGUGCUAACCCUUUCCUGCCCUCUGCCUCACUUAAUCUGGCGAACCUCACUCUCUAAUUCUCAGCUCAUGCAUGAUCUUUAGGAAAGCCAUCCCUGACAGCUUUUAUGUUCCUUCCUUAUACCCCAGUGCCUAACACUUAGCAGGAACUCAAUAAGUAAUUAUUUAGCAAAAUUAAGACUGUUUAUACAAAGAUGAUUCAAAAGAUUGUCCUCUACAGUCUAGCAGCAAAGGGGAUUGACAUGUAAAGACAUGAUGUGCAGUUCAGGUGGUAAAGUGACACUAGAAAAAUUGACAAAGUACUAAGGGACCGCAAUGAAACAGACACCUGUGUGUGUGGAGAAAGAUAGCUAGAAUCAAGGAAGACUUCACACAGCAUUCUGAGCCUUUUUUUUUCUCUUUUUCUGUUGUUGGAGACAAGUUCUUACUCUAUCACCCAGGGUGGAGUGCAAUGGCGUGAUUGAAACUCACUGCAACCUCAAACUCCUGGGCUCGAGGGAUCUUCUCACCUGAACUUCUUGAGUGGCUGGGACUACAGGCACAUAUCACCAUACCUGCCUAAUUUUUUGUAGAGUCAAGGUUAUCUAUGGUUUCCAGGCUGGUCUUACAGUCUUGGCCUCGAGUAAUUCUCCUAUUUUGGCCUUCCAAAGUGCUGGGAUUACAGAUGUGAGCUAUUAUGUCCAGCCUACUUUCUGAGUCUUAAAAGAUGAAAAUAAAUUUUUCAGAAUAGCAGGGGGAAAACAUUUGCGAUGUAAAAAAUGGUGUGCACACUAAUUAAGAUAUAAACAAUAAUUUUGCAAAUUAGUAACUGCCAACUCAAUUAGUGUCUUGUUAAAAAGAUACUGUUAUGUACAUUGUAUAUUUUGACUGUAUUUCAAAAUUUUGUUUUGUUUCCAACAGUUUUGUUGAUUUAUGUUGGGUGGAACAAUUUGUGAGUGACCCUGAGAUUUUGUAUGGCUUGAACCUGGUGAUAUCUAGUGUCUCCCCAAAUGGUUUGUUGAAGUUUUGGAUAAUUAGAAGUAUUUCUUAAAGAAGUAAAUAUUUCAGUAAACAUUAAGCUUCAUUUAAACCCUCAAAAUAUAAAAUACGAAGAAAUGUUAUUUUCUAUUUAUUUUUAUAAAGAUUAUAGUCUUUAUCUAACUGUUCUUAGUUCAUUUGAACUAAACCAAUGAAUUUGUCAACAGAACAAGCCUUACCAGUGGCUUCAGAGGAAGAGCAACAAAGACGUGAAAGAAGUGAAAAGAAGCAACCACAGGUAUAUGAAAAUUUAAGUUUCUUGUUUAAUAUUAGGUUUUUUUUUGCUUUAGUAACAAAGCAUAGUCCAAAUGACAUGACCUUUUAGACUAUACCUUUAGAAUCCAAUAGAUCAUAAUUUUAUAUUUAAUUUUUAAAACAUUUUAACCAGUUAUGAAACUUAAGAUAUUCUUACUAUCUCUAGUAACUUAUUCAUUAUUCUAGUAAUUCUUACUAUCUCUAGUAACUCAUAGCUGUCUUUACCCUUGGAAUUGAGGCAAGAAUUUUUCACAAUUAUCUUGCUCUUUUAUUUGUAUAACCUUACUCAUAAUACAGAAGGUAACAUGAAAUAUUGGGUCAUAUUACUAAGGAAUAGAAAUUAUGAACAAUUUAAUAACGAUGGCCGCUGAGUUAAACUAGUGUUAAAAGAGUCAUCAUUGCCAAUGGUUCAAAUGUUGCAGUUUUAUAUUGCUGGUCAUCAGUGCCGAGGUUAAAGAUUUAUUCUGUUUUGUGGUCACCAGUUGACUUCUGUGUCUGUGUUCAGGGAGUGAAUGGGGUCAUAAAAACCAACCCAGUUGCCUUUUAAGAGAAUCCUACCUUGCAGAAUGGGACCUUUGGUAUCAGGGUACAAACAAUAACUUUAUUUCAACAUAAAUACAUAGUAAAUAUUACUAAAAUUAAAAAAAUCCAAACACUAUCACUACUGGAACUUAAAAUAUAUUAGAAGUGGAUAUCAUAGUAUAUCAUUUGAAUUAGAAUUUAAAAUUUUGCUUCUCUUUCUUAUUGGUGUUCAGUUUGGCUCUUAAUAAUUUAGUGUUUGCCUAGUCUCUAGUUAAUCUUCAGAAAUAUACAUGCACUGUAGGGGCUCACUCUUUCUGGUAUGCUGAGGUAAAGUCUUUGUAAGAGAGGAAGCUUUUAUAAUACUACCUAUCAUCUUUGAAUUCAUUUCUGGUAGACUUUACACAUAAUGCAUUAAGUUUAGUCCAAACAAACACUGAGAGUUCAGCUUGCCGGUUUAUGUUUCUGUCCUAUGUUAAGCCAAGGCAAAUUAUUUUUCACUUUUUAGUUACAAUCCCAUAAUUGAAGAGUGGCAACACGCAGAUUAAGUUUCACAGUUAAAUUUUAAUUAUUUUCUAAUAUUUGUUUAUACUUGAUUAAAGCUAAUUUUAGAACAUGCACUCUGACAGAAAAGACAUCUGAGAAACAAAACAAGCAAAUUUGUUUUCCAUUUUGCACCUGCCAAAAAAAAAAAAAAAAAAAAAAAGCCUCAAGAACCAGAACUGGGUAAGAAUUGUGAUAAAGGGAAUCUAUCUGUAUAUUCACGACUUUCUUUAAAAUUCAUUACAAACAAGUUCAAGCUGAAUAUUGGUAAAGGUUUUGGAAACUCCAAAAUUACUGCUUGCCCUGAGGAAGAGCUUCUACAUAGUAACUCUAAAGAGGGAUGAACGAAAAAGGAGUGCCCUCUGAUCUGAUGAAUCAGGUCCCUGAUUGUGAGGAGAAAAAUGCAUCUGGAGGGUCUAACUCUGUGGCAUUCCAAGCAGCACCUGAAUAGAGGAAUCCCAUGUCAAAUGUCUUUUUAUUCCAUUCACACUCCAGGUCCCUGAAAUACACUUACCAGUCAUCUUCUAAGCUUCAUUUAAAUGAAAAUAAAUCAGACUAUGAAAAUGAUAACAAACCAGACACAUAGCUUGUUUCUAACACAGAUGAUGAAAAUUUUUGUAAUGAUACAGAAACUGAAACAUUAAGGAACCCAGUAAUUAUGAUUGAAAUGAAAGAUGAUUAAGAGUUUCACAUGCAAAUGGCAAAAAAUACAAACCCAAAUACCACUAAUUGGAAAUUAGACAUUAGGCAUUGGCCUCAGUCUAGAGAUCCAGAAAGUCUUUUUGAUUUGUGGUUUACCCACCCCAAAGAAAUGAAGCAUAUGAUUCAGAUAGAAAGCCACAGUAUUUCUGCUGCUACAGAUACUUAUAAAAACAGAAAACCAAUACAGUGCUUACUCCAGAAGCCACUAUAUGACAAUCCCAGUGCUAAUAACUACAAAAGCAUGAAUCUUGAAUUAUAAAGUGUGGGUUUAUUCUUUGCCACAUAGUGAGAGAACAUCAAAAAUAUAGCUAGAAGACACAGCAAGAUAUUCCAAGGUCACCAACAUGGCACAUGUAUACAUAUGUAACAAACCUGCACGUUGUGCACAUGUACCAGAACUUAAAAGUAUAAUAAAUAGUAAAAAAGAAUGAGGUAGCAUGUUACAAGUAGAGUUCCUGGCUUUGGAAAAAGAGAAAGUCCAACUUCAAAAAGACAGAGGUUCACUUGCUGCUGCUUUUUUCUCUUUGUCAAUUAUUUGAUUUAGUCAGAUUUUCUAUUCAAGAAAAUCUCAUGUGUACAGUUACAGUGGGGUUAUCUAAAUGUGUAAUUGUGUGUCAAAGUAGAUUAGUUUUGCUAUCUAAAUAAUGGUUCUGGAGAAUGUUCUCAUAAUGUUUGUUCAUUAAUCAACCUAAGUCUUCCUAUCAGUCUUCCAAGUGGCGUAUGAGCUGGGAAACUAAUUCAGCCAUAUACCAUGUGACCUUUAUGAACCAGAUCAACAUAAAGAAAUUGCUAAAGAAAUAAGCUCUAGAUUCUAGAUUCUUUUUUCUGUAUUCAUUUAGAGAUGAAUUACAUUUAUUUAAUGAUAGAAUGGUAAUACAAUGGGAGGGAAGCAAUGACUGAGAUGAGCCACAAAAACACGUCUAGCCUUGAGAGUUGCAACGAAUAUUCCCAGCCAAAUGAGUCUGUUUAAUAUGUUUUCAUGCAUGCAAGUUUAUCUGCUUAGCUCAAACUGCUUGAACUUAUAGUCCCAUCAUGGUUAUUUCCAAUAUUUUGAAAACAAAUAUAUACUUCCACAUAUUUUUAAAAAUCACCACUCUCCAAUAUUUCUGUUGAAUCAGACCUUACAUUAUGUUGUUUAAUAAAGUAUGGUAAGUUUUGGCAUGUAUGAUUUUUAUCAUGUAAGAAGCAUAAUUUCUUAGUCAAAAAUUUAGCCUUUGACUCUUUAGUAGAAAGCUGAGUUCUGUACAUUGUGUUCUAAAGAUAGACAAAAAUCUAGAGAUUUUCUUCUUUCAAAGUAAAAGCAGAUGAGGCCUUUUUCCACCCUCUGAGGCAUUAAAUUGCUUUGCUCAAGUUAGACUUUUAAUAUAUUUAAUUUGAUAAAUUUAUCUGGUAAUAUAUGUAAUUCAGCAAUAUGGAAUUGUAUCAUGUUAUAUGGUGCCAUGAAAUGCUAGGGAAUGCCACCUCAAGAGCUCUGGAUGAAACAUUUAAUAUGUCUUGGUUGGUUUGACUCCCAUUAUCAGUAGAUAAUGGGGCUAAAGUAGGUAACUGUAUCCUAUGUUUUCCACCUAUAAACUUUUGUGGUAAUAGAAUGUGAAAUCUGGGAAGCAUGUCGUUUUCCAGAAUUCUGCACUAGAAACUCAGCAGUUUCACUCUGCUUCUUGUGUUGUGGCAAACUUUGGUUCCCAUAGUUCAGGGAGCACCUUUACUUUUUUGAUAUCCCAGGAUUCAAAAAAAAAAAAAAAAAAGAGAGAUAAAAGGCACUGGGGAAAAGAAUAGCUUAGUGCAGAAAAGGGAAAUCUUCUUUACUGUUCCUGAAGCCCUACAAAGUCACAUCCUCUAAAUCUGGCUAUUUCAUGUAAAAUCCAGGUGGUAAAGACAGAAGACAUAUGUUAUGCCUGUGUCUUUUUAUUUCUCUGUUUCUGCCAGUCAGAUAGCAUAAACAUUUAUGUCAGAUAGCAAAGAGUGGAUGGGAAUAAAAGCACAAAAUGGAGAAGAGGACUUUUUAAAAUUUUGGAAAAUUCUUCCAUUCACUCAAACAGAAAUGAGCAGACUUGACAAAAAUUUCAUUGAUAAAAUGGUGAGUACCUUAUAAUUAUAAUAAUUAUGUAUAAUGAUAAAAUUAAAGUAAGCACAAAAUACCUUUAUCAUUAAAAUGGUGAUAGUUAACCUGAAUCAAGUGAAAAAAUCAGGGAAAAAGUUCUUUUUAUGAAUAAAAUAAUAAUUAUUAUUCAUAUUACUUUUAUUAAAGGUCAAAGAAGGAAAUAAUACAUACAAAAGUGAAAAAAUACAACUAUCAGAAAAUAUAUGUCAUAGUACAUCUUCUGCUGCUGCUGACAGAUUAACCCAACAAAGAAAGAUUAGGAAAACAGCCUCAGCAAUUUCCCAAGAAACUGAAGGAAGAGCAUGAUAGGUAAGUAAGCCUAUUGCAGUGUGUUUGUUUUGUUUUGUUUUGUUUGGGUUUUUUUUUUUUUUUGAGAUGGAGUUUCUCUCUUGUUGCCCAAGCUGGAGUGCAAUGGUGUGUUCUUCCCUCACUGCAACCUCUGCCUACUGGGUUCAAGUGAUUCUCCUGACUCAGCCUCCCUAGUAGCUGAGAUUACAGGGAUGUGCCACCAUGCCCGGCUAAUUUUUUGUAUUUUUAGUAGAAAUGAGGUUUCACCAUGUUAACCAGGCUGGUCUGGAACUCCUGACCUCAGGUGUUCUGCCCAUCUCAGCCUCCCAAAGUGCUGGGUUUACAGGAGUGAGCCACUGUGCCUGGCCACCUAUAGCAGUAUUUCACAGGAGAUAAUUGUCAUUGUGCUAUAAACUAAUUCAAAAUUGGACUAAUAUUCCUUAUGAUUAACAAGUUUUAUAUUUUUACCAGGGAUAUUUAGCCCUGUCUGGUAAUCAGAAAAAUGUAAAUUAACAUAAAAUAAGAUAUAUUUUGUAAAGUCAUGCUGAUAUUUAAAAAGUAAUUACUCAUGUUGGCAAAUGUGAGGAAAAAGGCAUUCUCAUACACUGUUGGUAUAUGAAAUUGGUAAAUUAUUUGUGAAGGGUAACUUAGUGCUGUGUAUCAAAAUUUCAAAUAACCUGACAUCCCUUUAACUCAACAACUCCACUUCUGGGACUAGAUUUCCCAGGAAAACAUAACUUGUGUAAACAUACACAAACUUAUUAAGGGCAUUAAUUAUAUAUUACACAUAAUGAACAAUAGGCUAAUUAAUAUAUAAAAUAUAUGUAAUAAGAAGGUGAAUUGAAAGUAUUAAGAAAGAAUUAUAAAAAGUGUGAGGUAACAGAUGUUAGACUCUUUAGCCUAGUUUUGGAUGACAGUCAUUUGCAGAUAUAGUUUUUGUGAGAGACAUCUUACUCUGUAAAUCAUUUGGAGAGACACCCGCAAUAUUUCGUAAAGAUGAAAAUUUAUUUCUAGUGAACUUAUACACUUGUCAGUAAAUAGUAACUUUAAAAUUUUAGUUGAUUGUAAAUGACCUUUUCUAAUUAGGGAGUAAUUAUGACUGUGUGAUUUGAAAAGGUAAUUUUGAACUUGUAACUUUACUGAAUUAUCUCCAGUAUCCUUUUUUAUAAUAUAUACUAGAGUCACUAGUAAUAAAACCUUUAGCAGAAUAUUCUUUCCUUACUACUUCUCAAGUAUAUGCAUUCUUUUGAAGAUGUUGAAGUGAGAAUUUAAAUAUCUGAGAACUGCAAAGGAAAAAUAAUCCAGAACAUAGAAAUUUUAUUAGGAUAAUAAACAACAUCUGCAGAGGUAGAUAACAGGAUGAACUCUUUAUUUUUUAACAAAAUGAAUUUCAAGAUAAAUGUCUUUAUCUGCAGAUGCACCUUACAACAAGAAAAUGAAGAAAAAACAAAUGUUAAUAUGCUGUACAAAAAAAAUAGAGAAGAAUUAGAAAGGAAAGAGAAACAAUAUAACAAAGAAGUUGAAGCAAAACAACUUGAACCAACUGUUCAAUCACUAGAGAUGAAACCGAAGACUGCAAGAAAUACUCCAAAUCAGGUAAAUCAAUCUUUGGUAAAAAUUCUAUAUUUUAAACUUUAUUUUAUCAGUGUUACUUACAAUAUCCACUUGAUUUAAUAUAUAUUAUUUAGGUAAAAAACAAACCAGAAAUGUUAUCUCAUUUUUAAAAAUGAGUGAUGACACUUACAGGUACAAUUAUUAAUAUAUAUUAUAAAUCUUGGCAUCCACAUAGGAUAUUAUUUUAUUACAAAGAGCUUUUGAAAACAAUAAUAUGCCAUAAUAUAUACUUAGUGAUAACUUAUUGAUAAAGAUUUUGUUCCCAGUAAAAUUGUUCUUGUACUUUCCCCUAUUUCAUAUUGAUUACUGUACCUAAUAUUAUAAAGAAGAAACAGAAAUUAUUGCAAUCACAAAUAAUCUCAUGAUAUUCUUAGAAGAGGUCUAUAAAUUUUAUCUUAUUUACCACUGGUGUUUUGAAAUAAAAGUUUUCUUUCGUAUGGAUAUAUUUACACCACAGAAGUAACUGUGAUCUGUUGGAGAACUAGAAGUAGAGUCAGAAGUCCUGGGGAAAAUCCUGUAGCUUGCUUAUAUUUUUAACCUUUCUUUCUCAAAAUUAUGGUAACUAGAUGAGUUCAUCAAUGAAUGUAUAUAGGAGUGACUAGUAUAAUGUGUAGAUUUAUGUUAGUAAAUGUAAUUCUUAUAACUGACUAUAAAAGUGUUAAAAGAGUCAAAUUGGAAUAGAAUGUUAUCAGUGAAACAGAACUGUAAUAACUCUGGGAAAUUUCAUCUGUCCAAAUACGUGUGAACUAAGGUUCUUACUAUAGGGUGGUGUAUAGGUUAGAUAUCAAAGUGUAAAUGCAAUUUUUUGACAUAUUUUAAUUUAGUCAAAUUUGUUAAUGCUUUAAUUUAUACUUUUGAGUUUGUUGUAAUUCAGGGAAAGGCUUUUCCAAUUCUGAAAUUCUUAAAAAUUCUCUGGUGUGCAUGUGUGUGUGUGUGUUUACUUUUAUAAAUUCAUUGACUUUAAAUAAAUUUCUGAACUUUUUGGAAUUUAUGCUCUAUAAGGUUCAAAAUUUUGCUUCAACUUUUUCUCCAGUUGGAUAUCCACUUACAGUAACCUUUUUAGUGCAUGGAUGUGCAGGUUAUUCUUUAACUUCAGAGGUAAUCAUGAUAUGUUAUUUUAUUGAGUACUAGCUAAAACUUUCUGUUGUUUUAUUUAGGAUUUUCAUAAUCAUGAAGAAAUGAAAGAUCUGAUGGAUGAAAAUUGCAUUUUGAAGACAGAUAUUGCUAUACUCAGACAGGAAAUAUGCAUAAUGAAAAAUGACAACCUGGAAAAAGAAAAUAAAUAUCUUAAGGACAUUAAAAUUGCUAAAGAAACAAAUGCUGCCCUUGAAAAGUGUAUAAAACUCAAUGAGGAAAUGAUAACAAAAACAGCAUUCCGGUAUCAACAAGAGCUUAAUGAUCUCAAAGCUGAGAAUACAAGGCUCAAUUCUGAACUGUUGAAGGAAAAAGAAAGCAAGAAAAAACUGGAAGCUGAAAUUGAAUCUUAUCAGUCUAGACUGGCUGCUGCUAUAAGUAAACACAGUGAAAAUGUGAAAACAGAAAGAAACCUGAAACUUGCUUUAGAGAGAACACAAGAUGUUUCUGAACAAGUAAAAAUGAGUUCUGAUAUUUCCGAAGUAGAAGAUAAGAAUUAGUUUCUUACUGAACAACUUUCUAAAAUGCAAAUUAAAUUCAAUACCUUAAAAGAUAAGUUCCGGCCGCCGCCGCCACUGCAGCCUGCUGGGCUGGAGGAAGCAGAGCUGGUGCUGUCCCGGCUCUCUUGCGGGGAAGCAACUGAGGGGGCGCCUUGGGGUGGGUGCUCCUGGUGAGAGGAGUCCACUCCAUGCAUGUGGGCGGAGGCCAUCCCCCGAGAGCCGCCGACAUGAAGAAAGACGUGCGGAUCCUGCUGGUAGGAGAACCUAGAGUUGGGAAGACGUCACUGAUUAUGUCUGGUCAGUGAAGAAUUUCCAGAAGAGGUUCCUCCCCGGGCAGAAGAAAUCACCAUUCCAGCUGAUGUCACCCCAGAGAGAGUUCCAACACACAUUAUAGAUUACUCAGAAGCAGAACAGAGUGAUGAACAACUUCAUCAAGAAAUAUCUCAGGCUAAUGUCGUCUGUAUAGUGUAUGCCGUUAACAACAAGCAUUCUAUUGAUAAGGUAACAAGUCGAUGGAUUCCUCUCAUAAAUGAAAGAACAGACAAAGACAGCAGGCUGGAGUGCAGUGGUGGGAUCUCUGCUUGCUACAACCUUCACCUCCCAGCCGCCUGCCUUGGCCUCCCAAAGUGCUAAGAUUACAGCCUCUGCCCACCCGCCACCCUGUCUAGGAAGUGAGCAGCGUCUCUGCCUGGCCGCCCAUAGUCUGGGAUGUGAGGAGCCCCUCUGCCCGGCCGACCCGUCUGGGAAGUGAGGAGUGCCUCUGCCUGGCCGCCACCCCGUCUGGGAAGUGAGGAGCAUCUCUGUCUGGCCGCCCAUUGUUUGGGAUGUGAGGAGCGCCUCUGCCCUGCUGCCCCAAAUGGGAAGUUAGGAGCGCCUCUGCCCAGCUGCCCCAAAUGGGAAGUGAGGAGUGCCUCUGCCUGGCUGCCCUGUCUGGGAAGUGAGGAGCGCCUCUGCCUGGCUGCCCCAAAUGGGAAGUGAGGAGCGCCUCUGCCCGGCCGCCCCAUCUGGGAAGUGAGGAGCGCCUCUGCCCGGCCGCCCCGUCUGGGAUGUGGGGAGCGCCUCUGCCUGGCCGCCCUGUCUGGGAAGUGAGGAGCGCCUCUGCCCGGCUGCCCUGUCUUGGAAGUGGGGAGCGCCUCUGCCCAGCCGCCCCGUCUGGGAAGUGAGGAAUGCUUCUGCCCGGCCGCCACCUGGUCUAGGAAGUGAGGAGCGCCUCUGCCCAGCUGCCCUGUCUGGGAUGUGAGGAGCAUCUGCCCAGCUGCCCUGGCUGGGAAUUGAGGAGCACCUCUGCCCAGCCGCCCUGUCUGGGAGGUGAGGAGUGUCUCUGCCCGGCCGCCCCGUCUGGGAGGUGAGGAGCGUCUCUGCCCGGCUGCCCCGUCUGGGAAGUGAGGAGCACCUCUGCCCGGCCGCCCCAUCUGGGAGGAAGUGAGGAGCGCCUCUGCCCGGCCGCCCCAUCUGGGAGGUGAGGAGCAUCUCUGCCCGGCUGCCCUGUCUGGGAAUUGAGGAGCGCCUCUGCCCGGCUGCCCAUUGUCUGGGAAGUGAGGAGCACCUCUGCCCGGCUGCCCGGUCUGGGAUGUGAGGAGCGCCUCUGCCCAGCUGCCACCCUGUCUGGGAAGUGGGGAGUGCCUCUGCCCGGCCGCCACCCCGUCUGGGAGGUGAGGAGUGCCUCUGCCUGGCCUCCCCAUCUGGGAAGUGAGGAGCGCCUCUGCCCGGCAGCUGCCCCGUCUGGGAAGUGAGGAGCGUCUCUGCCCGGCCGCCCCGUCUGGGAAGUGGGGAGUGCAUCUGCCCGGCCGCUCCGUCUGGGAGGUGAGGAGUGCCUCUGCCCGCCCGCCCCAUCUGGGAUGGGGGGAGCGCCUCUGCCCGGCCGCCCAUCAUCUGGGAAGUGGGGAGCGCCUCUGCCCGGCCGCCCCAUCUGGGAAAUGGGAAGCGCCUCUGCCCGGCCACCCCAUUUGGGAAGUGAGGAGUGCCUCUGCCUGGCCGCCCUGUCUGGGAAGUGAGGAGCGCCUCUACCCCGCCACCCCAUCUGGGAGGUGUACUCAACAGCUCCGAAGAGACAGCGACCAUCGAGAACGGGCCAUGAUGACGAUGGCGGUUUUGUUGAAAAGAAAAGGGGGAAAUGUGGGGAAAAGAAAGAGAGAUCAGAUUGUUACUGUGUCUGUGUAGAAAGAAGUAGACAUAGCAGACUCCAUUUUGUUCUGUACUUAGAAAAAUUCUUCUGCCUUGGGAUGCUGUUAAUCUAUAACCUUACCCCCAACCCCGAGCUCUCUGAAACACGUGCUGUGUCAACUCAGGGUUAAAUGGAUUAAGGGCGGUGCAAGAUGUGCUUUGUUAAACAGAUGCUUGAAAGCAGCAUGCUCCUUAAGAGUCAUCACCACUCCCUAAUCUCAAGUACCCAGGGACACAAACACUGCCUAGGAAAACCAGAGACCUUUGUUGACGUGUUUAUCUGCUGACCUUCUCUCCACUAUUAUCCUAUGACCCUGCCACAUCCCCCUCUCCGAGAAACACCCAAGAAUGAUCAAUAAACAUUAAAAAAAAAAGGUACAAGAAAAAAAAAGAUAAGUUCUGUAAGACAAGAGAUACUCUCAGAAAAAAGUCAUUGGCUUUAGAAACUGUACAAAAUGACCUAAGCCAAACACAGCAGCAAAUAAAGGAAAUGAAAGAGAUGUAUCAAAGUGCAGAAGCUAAAGUCAGUAAAUCCACUGGAAAGUGGAACUGUGUAGAAGAGAGGAUAUGUCAACUCCAACGUGAAAAUCCAUGGCUUGAACAGCAACUAGUUGAUGUUCAUCAGAAAGAGGAUCAUAAAGAGAUAGUAAUUAAUAUCCAAAGAGGCUUUAUUGAGAGUAGAAAGACCUCAUGCUAGAAGAGAAAAAUAAGAAGCUAAUGAAUGAAUAUGAUCAUUUAAAAGAAAGUCUCUUUCAAUAUGAGAGACAGAAAGCAGAAACAGUAGUAAGUAUCAAGGAAAAUAAAUAUUUUCAAACUUCUAGAAAGAAAAUUUAAACAUUUGGUUCUGGAUACAUGUUGAACCUAGUUGAAUAUAAAAAUCAGUAGAUAAAAAGUGUGUUUACUAUACUGUAUAAUUCCAUUUACAUGAAGCAUCCAGAAAAGAGAAAUGUAUAGGUACAAAAAGUAGAUUAAUGUUUGCAAAGGGCUGGGGCUGGAAGGUGGUAGUGACUGCUAAUGGGCGUGAGGGAUCUUGCAGUGAUGGAAAUGCUCUAAAGUUGGAUUGUAGAGAUGGCUGCACAGCUCAGAAAAUGUACUGAAAAUCUUUAACUUUAUGUUAAAACAGAUACAUCUAUAGUAUGUAAAUUAUAUUUUAACAAAGCUUUUUGAUUUAAAAAAAAAAGAAAAAUGUGUUUAUUACAUCAGCUUAGAAACAUACCUUGUUUCCAUAGAGGUGAGAGAUGAUUUACUUUGAGAGAAGACAUUGUGUCACCUAUGACAUUUUAUUAGGCACAGAGUCAUAUUUUAAGGUAGAUAGUCCUGUAGUGCUGAAAUAAUAAUUUUAAUGUCUUUAUGUUGCCACAUGUUAAGACCAUGAUGAAGGUAUAAAUGGAAAUGUUUACACCUGAAAUGAGUGUUUUCAAAUUAAAAUUUAAUUGAUUUGCUUCAACACUUAAUUGUAGAUUUCCCAGAUGAAGUGUAUUGCUGUGUCUUGUAAUAUCUUGCUUUAAGUAGUUUUUUAUAUAUUUUAGUUGGUAUAGCUUUAUUAUUAUUCAUAUUAAUUUAACUUAAAUCUGAAAAUAUGUCAGUCUCAAAUUACAUAUUUUUAUGACCAUGUAAUGUUUUAAAGGCACCUACUUGUUAUAAAAUUAUAAUUUAGGGUAAAUGUAAAUUUUAGCAAAACUAUAUUUGAUUUAGUCUUCCCACUGGUAUUCAUAAUUUACUUUGAAUAUUUUUAUUAAUAAUUAGCUCAUAAUUUUUA